GCAGAGCUUCUGCAACAACAGAUAUGUUUUUUAUAAAAGCAUUAACAAUAUUUUUUCUAAUAAUGUUAACGGAAAUCAUCAAUCAAUCAAGAAGUGCACAAGUGUGUCCUGAAAAUGAAACGUGGAAUAAUUGUGGAAAUCCAUGCAAUGAAAAUUGGUGCAACGAAACAGCAAGAAUUUGUACAAAACAAUGCAACAUCGAAGGAGGAUGUUACUGUAACAAAGGCUAUAAACGCGACACUAAAGGACAAUGCAUUCAAUGUCCAACAUGUCCUUGCGAUGAAGUGUGGGACCAAUGCGGUAACGACUGUAUGGCAAAUACUUGCAACACAUCCACAAUUUGUCCAUAUUAUUGUUUUGAAAAUGGAGGCUGUGUGUGCAAAAAUGGAACUGAACGUGGCAUAAAUAAUACUUGUGUUUCAUGUAAUUCUUGAAAAAUAUUGAAAAAAAUAUUAUUAACAAAUA